CAUAGAUGGAUCGUGGUAGGCCUUGCCGAAGUGGCCUCCGCCGUCCGGGUCGUCCUCCUGAAAUUCGUGGCGCAGUUAUUGGACGUAUCGAUCUGCGUCUCCGUUGACGUCUGUCCGAUGAUGAUUUACUACGGGAUCGAGGUCAAAAUUCAUCUGCUGUUGAUUCGCGUCGGCGGCGCAAAGAGAUCUGACUGGGAAAGCGUCCUGUUGAUGGCAUUGUUGCUGAUUCUUUAUGUGGUCUUGGUUCUUCACGUGGUGUGGACUCUGCUGUUUCCCUUCCCAGCUCUUCGGCUGAGUUCUCUGGUACUGCUUAUCUAUAAGUUUUAUUUUCUGUGAAAAACUGUUACGGAUAAAAUAUG